AUUGAAUUUAGACUCUAAAUUGAAUUUAUAAAUUGUUUUAUAACAGAAGUUUGUGUCACAUUUUUGUGUUCAGUUUAUCUAAUAAAGGAGGAAAAUAGUUUUAAAUUAUUUUUAAUCAAAAGCUGAACUUUCUCAAAAAUAUUUCGUCUAAGUUUUAUCUCAAUACACUGAACUUGUUGACUUUGUUCUUGACCACCCUUAAAAUGAAGAAGGCCGUCUCGGUACUCUCUGUCAUAAGUACUGGGUAAUUGAGAUUAUUUGCUUAUCUCAAAAAUGUUGUUUUUAUUCCCAGCAUUAGUUGUACUUUUUUUCUUUUUAAUAUAUCUUCUAGAUUCUUAUUUUGGGUUCUUAUAUGUUAAAUAACAUUUCAUGUAUUUUAAUAUUUUAUAAGCUUUACCUAACUUACUACUUGGUGGUAAUUAUAUAAGGAUAAAAUAAUG
rnacentral:lncRNA from 1 species